ACCGAGGUGGCCGCGAGGGGAGGGGAGAAGAGCGGAGCGGAGGGGAGGGGACGCGGCCGAGGUGGGGCUGGCGGCCCGGCGGGUUCCACGCAGGCUGGGGGCGGAGGGCCAGAUCGACCCCAGCCGGGGCGGCCGAGCAGGGUCCACGGGGGUCGGGGAUGGGCGGCCAGGCGGGGUCGGAGGGACGAAAGCCGGGGUGAACCUGCGCCGCGGGCCAAGCGCGACCCCCUCCCUUCCCGACCUGUGCGGAGAGGAGAGAAAUGAAGGGGGGCGCCCAAGGAGCCCUGGCCCCGGGAGUGGGAGUCAGCGGGUGGGAACAGAUCGCCCUUCCUUUCCGCUGGGAAUUGGGGGACUCCCCCUGCUUUCACUCUCCCAGCCCGCCAUGGGGUUGGGCCUUGUCCUUUGCCUUGGGUUUGAAGGCGGAGACAAAAAAGGCUGUCCAAAAUCCAGCCAGCUUGGGAGGCAUGGUUGAUGCGAGUUAGCAAAGAUUCUCGACUGUGUCUGUGCAGCUUAAUCACUUCAGAAUGGGAAGGAAACGGGGGCCCAGGGAAGUUAAGCAACUUGCCCACUCACUCAGUCUAAUUGGUGCCGGGGCAGGGACAGAACUCACUCAAUUCCACUGCUUUCCCCAGUUUCUGGUGAGUGAUGUGUGCCUGGCACUGUGUGCACCUGGCACUGUGUGUAGUAGGAAUGCUGUUUCUUCUGUCUGUAACCUCCUCCCAGUUCUGUAAACAAAGACAAAACCAUGCCCUGCCCUUAAAGCCUAUAGGGUUCAAAUGCCACCUCUUUGAUGAUGCUUUCCCUAUAACACCAUUUGAUACCUCUCAUGGGACUUAGCAAGUAAUUGCAACGAGAGGCAUAUAUGUUAGUUCAAUAUAGCAAACCUUUGUUGAGGGCCCACUGUGUGCCAGGUAUGUCUCCCCUCCCUGAGGACUGGAAGCAACCAUAGUUUAUAUUUCUCCUUCUUUCUCGCUUUAUAAGGUGUUGCUAAAAGCCUCCAGUGAAUGAAUGAACACUUGUGUGCCUGCCCUCAAGGAGCCUGCACUACACUUGGAGAUAUAUACAGAAACCUGUUGAGGGCUAACUUAGGUUGGCAAGGCCCCCAGUGGCCAAGGCAUGAGCCUGGAUGCCCUGCAAAUUGAGUACGUGUUAGGGAUGGGGGCCAUUCUUUAUAGUUUGACUCUGGAGAGCUAGGACCACCUUUCCCAGCCUCAGGGGUGCACAUCCUCAGGAGCUGCCUACCUCCAGAUAUUCACUUCGGGACGCUGAGAGAGGUGGAUCACCUGAGGUCAGGAGUUCGAGAUCAGCCUGGCCAACAUGGAGAAACCCCGCCUCUACUAAAAAUACAAAACAUUAGCUGGGUGUGGUGGCACACACCUGUAAUUCCAGCUACUCGGGAGGCAGAAGCAGGAGAAUCGCUUGAAUCCAGGAGGCGGAGGUUGCAGUAAGCCGAGAUCACGCCACUACACUCCAGCUUACACUGGACAUGAUGAGGAGGAGGAGGAUGAUGGUGGUGAUUAUGAUAGAAAUGGUGAUGGUGAUGAUGACAAUGGUGAUAGUAGGGAUGGUCUUGCUCUGUCGCAAUCAAUAAAUGAAUGCAUAAACACAUUUCUACUUGUUUUUGCAGUCCUAAGAUAAGUGCUCAGUAGCAUCCCUGCCCUUCUAAUGUGAACUUGAGGGAUGGGUAAGACCCAGAGAUGGCAUGGGGGACGGGAUAAGGAAGGCCUACUGUUCAUAUUGUGAACAUGAAAUGGUUUUACAUUUUGAUGCCACUUCAUUAAAUUGACUGUAUGAUAUGAGCUAACGCUACACCCUCCUUUAAAUUUUGGCUAACACAUCCAUAUCCUCAGGUGGUAUCAGUUGAUAAUGCCCAUGAAAAUAUUUUGUAAACUACAGGGUGCUAAACAAUUAUUUACUUGUAUCCCUUUCUGUGGGGCACAGUUUGAUGCUAUACACAAAGCAGUGAAGUCUCGACAAGAAUGAUGACCACUACAAUGAGCACAAAAUAAAGUCUUUUUGGGGUUUUU
rnacentral:lncRNA from 10 species